GACGAACGCUGGCGGCGUGCUUAACACAUGCAAGUCGAACGGUGAAGGGGUCUGCUUUUGUGGGCCCUGGAUGAGUGGCGAACGGGUGAGUAACACGUGAGUAACCUGCCCCCUUCUUCUGGAUAACCGCCUGAAAGUGUGGCUAAUACGGGAUAUUCUGGGUCUGUCGCAUGAUUGGUCUGGGAAAGAUUGCGCCUUUGGGUGUUUUUGGUGGGGGAUGGGCUCGCGGCCUAUCAGCUUGGUGGUGGGGUGAUGGCCUACCAAGGCGGUGACGGGUAGCCGGCCUGAGAGGGUGGACGGUCACACUGGGACUGAGACACGGCCCAGACUCAUGCGGGAGGCAGCAGUGGGGAAUAUUGCACAAUGGGCGCAAGCCUGAUGCAGCGACGCCGCGUGAGGGAUGGAGGCCUUCGGGUUGUAAACCUCUUUCGCCAGUGAAGCAGGCCUGCUCCUUGUGGGUGGGUUGACGGUAGCUGGAUAAGAAGCGCCGGCUAACUACGUG
rnacentral:rRNA from 1 species